rnacentral:rRNA from 1 species
GAUGAACGCUAGCGGGAGGCCUAACACAUGCAAGCCGAGCGGUAGAGAUUCUUCGGAAUCUUGAGAGCGGCGUACGGGUGCGGAACACGUGUGCAACCUGCCUUUAUCAGGGGGAUAGCCUUUCGAAAGGAAGAUUAAUACCCCAUAAUAUAUUAAGUGGCAUCACUUGAUAUUGAAAACUCCGGUGGAAAAAGAUGGGCACGCGCAAGAUUAGAUAGUUGGUAGGGUAACGGCCUACCAAGUCAGUGAUCUUUAGGGGGCCUGAGAGGGUGAUCCCCCACACUGGUACUGAGACACGGACCAGACUCCUACGGGAGGCAGCAGUGAGGAAUAUUGGACAAUGGGUGAGAGCCUGAUCCAGCCAUCCCGCGUGAAGGAUGACGGCCCUAUGGGUUGUAAACUUCUUUUGUAUAGGGAUAAACCUUUCCACGUGUGGAAAGCUGAAGGUACUAUACGAAUAAGCACCGGCUAACUCCGUGCCAGCAGCCGCAGUAAUAC